CCCAGCUCGUUAUGCUAGAGCACUUUUUCAAUGUGCUCCCCAACAAGAAGGCGACGACGCAUUCAUACGUCAAUCCAUAUCAACUUUCGAUGCCAUUGACUGUGCCUACCAUGGUAACCACGGGUAACAGGGAAUCAGGGUUCCAUUCCUGAGAGGGAGCGUGAGAAACGGCUACCACAUGCAAGGAAGGCAGCAAGCGCGCAAAUGACCCACUCCCAACGCGGGAAGGUAGUGAUG
rnacentral:rRNA from 1 species